UGGGGAAUAUUGCACAAUGGGCGAAAGCCUGAUGCAGCAACGCCGCGUGAGUGAUGAAGGCCUUCGGGUUGUAAAGCUCUGUCUUUUGGGACGAUAAUGAUGGUACCAAAGGAGGAAGCCACGGCUAACUACGUGCCAGCAGCCGCGGUAAUACGUAGGUGGCAAGCGUUGUCCGGAUUUACUGGGCGUAAAGGAUGCGUAGGCGGAUUUUUAAGUGAGAUGUGAAAACCCUAAGCUUAACUUGGGGACUGCAUUUCAUACUGGAAAUCUAGAGUGCGGGAGAGGAGAAUGGAAUUCCUAGUGUAGCGGUGAAAUGCGUAGAGAUUAGGAAGAACACCAGUGGCGAAGGCGAUUCUCUGGACCGUAACUGGCGCUGAGGCAUGAAAGCGUGGGUAGCAAACAGGAUUAGAUACCCUGGUAGUCCACGCCGUAAACGAUGAGUACUAGGUGUAGGAGGUAUCGACCCCUUCUGUGCCGCAGUUAACACAAUAAGUACUCCGCCUGGGAAGUACGAUCGCAAGAUUAAAACUCAAAGGAAUUGACGGGGUCAUAGCUGUUUUCCU
rnacentral:rRNA from 1 species